rnacentral:rRNA from 1 species
AGGGAUUGCCUUAGUAACGGCGAGUGAAGCGGCAAAAGCUCAGAUUUGAAAUCUGGCGUCAUUUUGGCGUCUGAGUUGUAAUCUGUAGAGGAGUAUUCGAGUAUGGAUUUGGCCUAAGUUCCUUGGAACAGGGCGUCAUAGAGGGUGAGAACCCCGUUAACGGCCUAGGUCCUAUGCUCAUGUGAAUCUCCUUCAACGAGUCGAGUUGUUUGGGAAUGCAGCUCUAAAUGGGUGGUAAAUUCCAUCUAAAGCUAAAUACUGGCAAGAGACCGAUAGCGCACAAGUAGAGUGAUCGAAAGAUGAAAAGAACUCUGAACAGAGAGUUAAAUAGUACGUGAAAUUGUUGAAAGGGAAGCACUUGCUACCAGACACGCUUGUAGUUGAUCAGCCUCCAUUCUUGGUGGUGCACUCAACUAUGGGUGGGCUAGCAUCAGUUAUACUGGUAGGACAAAGACUGAGGGAAUGUAGCUCCUUUCGGGGAGUGUUAUAGCCCUCAGUGGAAUACUACCUAGUAUGACUGAGGACUGCGCUUCGGCGAGGAUGCUGGCAUAAUGGUCGUAAGUGACCCGUC